ACCUGGCUGGCUCAGUCAGUGGAGCUUGCGACUCUUGAUCUUGGGGUUGUGAGUUCAAGCCCCACGCUGGGUG
rnacentral:tRNA from 1 species